rnacentral:rRNA from 1 species
AAUGAACGUUGGCGGCGUGGAUUAGGCAUGCAAGUCGAGCGAGAACCGUAGCAAUACGGGGACAGCGGCGAAAGGGACAGUAAUGUGUAGGUACCUACCCCCGGGUUUGGGAUAGCUGCGGGAAACUGCAGGUAAUACCGAAUAAUGUCUUCGGACCAAAGGUGUGAUUCCACCUGGGGAGGGGCCUGCAUCCUAUUAGCUUGUUGGUGGGGUAACGGCUUACCAAGGCGACGAUGGGUAGCGGGUGUGAGAGCAUGACCCGCGUCAUUGGGACUGAGACACUGCCCAGACACCUACGGGUGGCUGCAGUCGAGGAUCUUCGGCAAUGGGCGCAAGCCUGACCGAGCGACGCCGCGUGCGGGAUGAAGGCCUCCGGGUUGUAAACCGCUGUCGUAGAGGAGGAAAUGCAGGAGGGUUCUCCCUUCUGUUUGACCUAUUCUAGGAGGAAGUACGGGCUAAGUUCGUGCCAGCAGCCGCAGUAA